UACAGAGGGUGCAAGCGUUAAUCGGAAUUACUGGGCGUAAAGCGCGCGUAGGUGGUUUGUUAAGUUGGAUGUGAAAUCCCCGGGCUCAACCUGGGAACUGCAUCCAAAACUGGCAAGCUAGAAUAUGGUAGAGGGUGGUGGAAUUUCCUGUGUAGCGGUGAAAUGCGUAGAUAUAGGAAGGAACACCAGUGGCGAAGGCGACCACCUGGACUGAUACUGACACUGAGGUGCGAAAGCGUGGGGAGCAAACAGG
rnacentral:rRNA from 1 species